GCCCAAAGGUGAAUUUUUUGGG
rnacentral:miRNA from 5 species